CCUACGGGCGGCAGCAGUGGGGAAUAUUGGGCAAUGGGCGCAAGCCUGACCCAGCAACGCCGCGUGAAGGAAGAAGGCUUUCGGGUUGUAAACUUCUUUUCUCAGGGACGAAGCAAGUAACGGUACCUGAGGAAUAAGCCACGGCUAACUACGUGCCAGCAGCCGCGGAAAUACGAAGGUGGCAAGCGUUAUCCGGAUUUACUGGGUGUAAAGGGCGGGUAGGCGGGAAAGCAAGUCAGAUGUGAAAACCAUGGGCUCAACCUGUGGCCUGCAUUGGAAACUGUUUUUCUUGAGUGCUGGAGAGGCAGACGGAAUUCCGAGUGUAGCGGUGAAAUGCGUAGAUAUUAGGAGGAACACCAGUGGCGAAGGCGGUCUGCUGGACAGCAACUGACGCUGAGGCGCGAAAGCGUGGGGAGCAAACAGGAUUAGAUACCCCUGUAGUC
rnacentral:rRNA from 1 species